rnacentral:rRNA from 1 species
GAGUUUGAUCUUGGCUCAGAUUGAACGCUGGCGGCAUGCCUUACACAUGCAAGUCGAACGGCAGCAUGAUCUAGCUUGCUAGAUUGAUGGCGAGUGGCGAACGGGUGAGUAAUACAUCGGAACGUGCCCUGUAGUGGGGAUAACUAGUCGAAAGAUUAGCUAAUACCGCAUACGACCUGAGGGUGAAAGUGGGGGACCGCAAGGCCUCAUGCUA